UACGUAGGGGGCAAGCGUUGUCCGGAGUUACUGGGCGUAAAGCGCACGCAGGCGGUUUGCCAAGUGUGGGGUGACAGGUCCCGGCUUAACUGGGACAGGGCCUUGCAAACUGGCGGACUUGAGGGCCUCAGAGGGACAUGGAACUCCAGGUGUAGUGGUGAAAUGCGUAGAUAUCUGGAAGAACACCAACGGCGAAGGCAGUGUCCUGGGAGGUUACUGACGCUCAGGUGCGAAAGCCAGGGGAG
rnacentral:rRNA from 1 species